ncrna:unclassified sequences Glutamine-II riboswitch (downstream peptide RNA)
UAACGUUCACCCCGCAAGGGGACGCAUGUUACUAGCUCAUGGAACGGGGAGCUAGA